rnacentral:rRNA from 1 species
GUCUACGGCCAUACCACCCUGAACGCGCCCGAUCUCGUCUGAUCUCGGAAGCUAAGCAGGGUCGGGCCUGGUUAGUACUUGGA